rnacentral:lncRNA from 1 species
UCUCUCUCUCUCUCUCCUCGGUGAGUCUCUCUCUCUCCUCGGUGAGUCUCUCUCAAAAAAGCUUAAAGUCUCAUUUUCCUUUUCUCUCUUUAACUCAUUACAGCGGACAUGAAAGUGGCGCCCCCCAGGGACCCAAAGACCCGGUACCGGUUCUUUGGAUACCUGGUGGCCUACCUCUCCUCAAUCUACGGGCACAGGUCGGGGGUGCUGACCCGGAUGAGGGUCAGGGAGGUGCAGGACGCGAUCGGGGACGAGGACACGGGCUACCUCAUUAAUGUCAUGGAGCACAAGACGGUGCGUAAAUUUGGGGUGGCCCAGGUGUACCUCGAGGCCGGCGAGUACGCCUGGUGCCGGGAGUGGCUCCACCUGCGGCUGCGCUCCGUGCCACAAAACAUGUUUUUUUUUACGUCCUUCGGCAAGGGGGAGCCGAAGGACCUGAUUAAAUAUUUUCGACGAGCUUGGGGGGAGAUGGGCCUCCCCGGCUCCCCGAGUCUAAUGGACAUCAGGUCGGCCGUGGCCACAUACAACUUUGAGACCAACGACGCCGAGGUACGCAGGAGCCUAGGGGACUUCAUGUGCCACGACAUCAGGACCCAGGAGCGCUUCUACGCGCUCCAUAAGAACCUUUCAAGGGCGAAGCAGAUGAGGGACCUCUUCGUCCGCCUUGCGCAGCGAGAGCCCUCAUCUGCUUCCUCCUCCUCCGAUCCUGCUGCAGGCUCCUCCUCUUCCUCCGCUCCUGCUGCAGGCUCCUCCUCCUCCUGCUGCAGGCUCCUCCUCCUCCGCUCCUCACGCAGGCUGCUCCUCCUCCUCUGCUCCUGCUGCAGGCUGCUCCUCCUCCUCCUCUGCUCCUGCUGCAGGCUCCUCCUCCUCCCCCGCUCCUCCUGGCUCCGUGAGGAGGAGGCUUCGGCCAUCUGCCACGCAGAGGAUGGCCCAGAGGGUGAAGGAGAAAAGGGGGAUUUCUCAAAAAAAGAGUUGCCGCGUGUUCAUCAAGAGACUGUGAAC